rnacentral:rRNA from 1 species
GACGAACGCUGGCGGCGUGCUUAACACAUGCAAGUCGAACGCUGAAGCUCAGCUUUUGUUGGGUGGAUGAGUGGCGAACGGGUGAGUAACACGUGAGUAACCUGCCCCCUUCUUUGGGAUAACGCCCGGAAACGGGUGCUAAUACUGGAUAUUCACUGGUCUUCGCAUGGGGGUUGGUGGAAAGGGUUUUUCUGGUGGGGGAUGGGCUCGCGGCCUAUCAGCUUGUUGGUGGGGUGAUGGCCUACCAAGGCUUUGACGGGUAGCCGGCCUGAGAGGGUGACCGGGCACAUUGGGACGGAGAUACGGCCCAGACUCCUACGGGGGGCAGCAGUGGGGAAUAUUGCACAAUGGGCGCAAGCCUGAUGCAGCGACGCCGCGUGAGGGAUGGAGGCCUUCGGGUUGUGAACCUCUUUCGCUCAUGGUCAAGCCGCAACAAUGGUUGUGGUGAGGGUAGUGGGUAAAGAAGCGCCGGCUAACUACGUG